rnacentral:lncRNA from 1 species
GGGAUUGGGAAGAAGCUUGUGAACUCAAAAGAAGGUCCCCCGACUUUCGAUCAACCUAAGAUGACUCUGGAGAAGCUCCUUCACUACGGACAAAUGCUUGUUCAGGAGCAGGACAAUGUGAAGAGAGUCCAACUGGCUGACAAGUACUUGGCCGAUGCAGCCCUUGGAGAUGCAAACCAGGACUCCAUUAACCGAGGAGAAUUCUAUGGUAAGCACUCCUUGUCUUGAUAAGAAAAUAACCCUAGAAGCACCAACUCAUAUCCGAACUUCUUUAAAAUCUCAACUGAUGUCACAACAUUUUGUUCGUUAAUAUUUGGAGUCACUUUGAACCCCAUUUAUUUACAACCAGUAAAUAACUACGUACCCGUUUUGUGCCCACAUCAGUUGGGAUAAUAGUUGGUGUUCCUAGCUAGUACUACUCGUCUUAAGCUAUCUCGAUUGGAAUAGUUUUGUUGAAGUGUUGCUUAACCACUGCAUGCAGGAAAGGCAGCCCAACAAGUUAAUGUACCAGUCCCAGAAGGCUGCACUGAUAGAACAGCUGCAAACUUCAACCCAGCAGCAAGGAGUGACGACGGUAGCUGUCAGUACGAGUAAUUGGAGCUGAAGAAAAUAAAUAUUCUGUUUGCUGGGUUAUUGAUAUUUUCUUUGUAAUUUGCGCUUGUAUUUCUAUGGAAAUUCUUGCAAUUAUUUCGUUUUAAUUAUUAAACAAGCUAUUGAUACUCCGG